GGGGCUUAGCUUUAUUGGUUUUAUAUUAUUUCUGCCACAAGUACCCAAGAAUUUAAGCAUAUAGCUCAUAUUACUUAUGUGAGCUUCCGCUGGCGGCA
rnacentral:lncRNA from 1 species